CUCGGCUCUGCACACCUGGACUGCGCUGACAUCCUCCUAGUUCCAGCUCCUGCUUCCAAAGUACAGAGUAGAAAUCCAGCUGCCAGGAACAAGUGAUCUACAAAAUACAGACUUGGACGAGACUCAAGUGAGACGUGAUCUUGUCAGUGCACAUCUUGUAGGGUGGCCCGCAGUUGCAGUUUUGCUUGCUUUCAGAAUCGGAGGCGCACUUGCUGGUGCAGCGCUGCAGCACUCGGAGGCACAAUCGGAGGUGGAUUUGGAUUGAUUGGCGCAGACAUGACCAUCACUGGCACACUUGGAGGCACAGUCGGAGGCAUAGUUGGAUACAUACUGACACACACAGUGACGCAUUCUACCAUUGUCGGAGGCGCAGUCGGAGGUGCAGUCGGAGGCAUAAUGACACUCAUAUUCACAGCUGUUGCUGCUAGCGUGGUCUGGGGCUUUAUCGGAUUCAUAAUCGGAGGGGCAGUCGGAUGCGCACUCAAAGGCAUUCUGACUCUCACAGUUGCAGGUGCUUCUGGGGUCGGAGGUGCAAUCUGUUUCAUAUUCGUAGGUGCAGUCGUAUGCAUACUGACACUCGCAGUCAUAGAUGCAAAAGUUGAUGCGAUCAGAGGUGCAAUCGGUCACGAAUUCGGCUGCACAGUUGGAGGCAGAGUUGGAAGCUUAGUCGGAGGCAUAGUCGGAGGCAUAGUCGGAAACUUAG